rnacentral:rRNA from 1 species
AUACGGAGGGUGCAAGCGUUGUCCGGAUUUAUAGGGUUUAAAGGGUGUGUAGGCGGUGUAUUAAGUCAGUGGUGAAAGCCUGCGGCUCAACCGUAGAACUGCCAUUGAUACUGACACACUUGAGUAUGGACGAGGUAGGCGGAAUUUAUGGUGUAGCGGUGAAAUGCAUAGAUACCAUAAAGAACACCGAUAGCGAAGGCAGCUUACUAGGCCAUAACUGACGCUGAGGCACGAAAGCGUGGGGAGCGAACAGGAUUAGAAACCCUAGUAGUCC